GAAGAAGAAGGUAGUGGUUGCACUUUUUCACAAAAGGGACGGAGAGGAGGGUGAACGAAGAGCGGCUCUUCCACGUGCUUUCGAGGGAAUCCUAAACCGAGAGCUGAGAGACACAAUGCACCAAACAGGGAUAUGAAGUACUCCAAACUUGGAACUGCGAUGGCCAGCAAAGCUAGAGAACAAAAA
rnacentral:lncRNA from 1 species